GUUUAGAGAGCGUCCAUGUCGGAUCUAUGCUGUGUGUUUCUCGUCAUAUUUGGUCACUUGGAUCAAAAGCCUACGGAUGGGCGUGUAUGUGCGAAGUCGUCACAACGUCACGUCGAGGGCGCUUCGUUACGGUGUGGAGACGAUGUCCCAUGGGAGUGUUGACCUUGGCCAGGUCGUGUGUUCAUAACCCUAGGAUGUUCAAGCCGGUUGCCGCCUGAAUCAAAUACCCUUCUUACACUUGAGUGUACCGAACCUGGAGAGGAUCCAGCGACAGAGGCACAGAUGACGACGCAUCUCUGACUCCUGUAUAACCGUCAUGUGUAUGACAUAAAAGGACAUGUAAUAGUACCAUCCUUUAACUGAACAUUGUAAUCAGUUUGAUAUUCAUGCAUUGGCACAGUUACUGUGAAUAUGGUUAUACGAAUCCUAUAAUUCUUGUAUAAUCUGUUGUCAUAGAGGUGAAUAAGAAAUACAUGUAAUUCAUAGUGUAGAUAUUUUUGUUUAUUAUAUUAAGUAACGUAUGUGUUUGUAUACACAUAGACGUGUGGGUAUGUAAAGUAAUUGGUUGUCCGUGUGGGAUGAUGUGUUAUGAAAUGGGUGUUGGGAAGAUGUCAUUGAGUCGGGUGAAACUUACUGUAGUAUGUCUGAGUGAAUAGGGUUUACUUGUAGGGAUCAUGAUAGGCGUGUAUGGUGAAUUUGAAGAUGGAUGUUUCGUGUGUUGUAAUAACUUUUUAAUAAACUUAUGUUGUUGAUCUCCAUA